GUCUUGAGCACCUCAGGGAGAGCGGUGUUGACAUCCAUCACACCUCCAGCAGCGAUGCUGAGGGGGAAAAGGACAUGGGGAGACGAGGUGGAGGAGAGGGGAACGACGGGAGAGGAGAGGGGAACGACAUGGGGAGACGAGGUGGAGGAGAGGGGAACGACAUGGGGAGACGAGGUGGAGGAGAGGGGAACGACAUGGGGAGACGAGGUGGAGGAGAGGGGAACGACAUGGGGAGACGAGGUGGAGGAGAGGGGAACGACAUGGGGAGACGAGGUGGAGGAGAGGGGAACGACAUGGGGAGACGAGGUGGAGGAGAGGGGAACGACAUGGGGAGACGAGGUGGAGGAGAGGGGAACGACAUGGGGAGACGAGGUGGAGGAGAGGGGAACGACAUGGGGAGACGAGGUGGAGGAGAGGGGAACGACAUGGGGAGACGAGGUGGAGGAGAGGGGAACGACAUGGGGAGACGAGGUGGAGGAGAGGGGAACGACGGGAGAGGACAUGGGGAGACGAGGUGGAGGAGAGGGGAACGACAUGGGGAGACGAGGUGGAGGAGAGGGGAACGACGGGAGAGGACAUGGGGAGACGAGGUGGAGGAGAGGGGAACGACAUGAGGAGACGAGGUGGAGGAGAGGGGAACGACGGGAGAGGACAUGGGGAGACGAGGUGGAGGAGAGGGGAACGACGGGAGAGGACAUGGGGUGGGAAAGGGGAGACAACAGUUAGUUGGCUGCAGCUGACCGGUAAAGGCGCUCGUCCUCCGGGUUGAAUGUGCGCAAAUCAACCGGCGUGUCAGAUAACGGAUCUCAC